CACAUGCAAGUCGAGGGGAAACGACAUCGAAAGCUUGCUUUUGAUGGGCGUCGACCGGCGCACGGGUGAGUAACGCGUAUCCAACCUGCCCACCACUUGGGGAUAACCUUGCGAAAGUAAGACUAAUACCCAAUGAUAUCUCUAGAAGACAUCUGAAAGAGAUUAAAGAUUUACCGGUGAUGGAUGGGGAUGCGUCUGAUUAGCUUGUUGGCGGGGUAACGGCCCACCAAGGCAACGAUCAGUAGGGGUUCUGAGAGGAAGGUCCCCCACAUUGGAACUGAGACACGGUCCAAACUCCUACGGGAGGCAGCAGUGAGGAAUAUUGGUCAAUGGACGAGAGUCUGAACCAGCCAAGUAGCGUGCAGGAUGACGGCCCUAUGGGUUGUAAACUGCUUUUAUAAGGGAAUAAAGUGAGUCUCGUGAGACUUUUUGCAUGUACCUUAUGAAUAAGGACCGGCUAAUUCCGUGCCAGCAGCCGCGGUAAUACGGAAGGUCCGGGCGUUAUCCGGAUUUAUUGGGUUUAAAGGGAGCGUAGGCCGGAGAUUAAGCGUGUUGUGAAAUGUAGAUGCUCAACAUUUGCACUGCAGCGCGAACUGGUUUCCUUGAGUACGCACAAAGUGGGCGGAAUUCGUGGUGUAGCGGUGAAAUGCUUAGAUAUCACGAAGAACUCCGAUUGCGAAGGCAGCUCACUGGAGCGCAACUGACGCUGAAGCUCGAAAGUGCGGGUAUCGAACAGGAUUAGAUACCCUGGUAGUCCGCACGGUAAACGAUGGAUGCCCGCUGUUGGUCUGAAUAGGUCAGCGGCCAAGCGAAAGCAUUAAGCAUCCCACCUGGGGAGUACGCCGGCAACGGUGAAACUCAAAGGAAUUGACGGGGGCCCGCACAAGCGGAGGAACAUGUGGUUUAAUUCGAUGAUACGCGAGGAACCUUACCC
rnacentral:rRNA from 1 species